rnacentral:misc_RNA from 1 species
UACGGAGGUGGCAAGCGUUGUCCGGAAUUAUUGGGCGUAAAGCGCGCGUAGGCGGCCUCUUAAGGAUGAUGUGACAGCCCACGGCUCAACCGGGGAGGGCCAUUGGAAACUGGGAGGCUUGAGUAUAGGAGAGAAGAGUGGAAUUCCACGUGUAGUGGUGAAAUGCGUAGAGAUGUGGAGGAACACCAGUGGCGAAGGCGCCUCUUUGGCCUAUAACUGUCGCUGAGGCGCGAAAGCGUGGGGAGCAAACAGG